rnacentral:misc_RNA from 1 species
GAUGAAGAACGCAGCGAAAUGCGAUAAGUAAUGUGAAUUGCAGAAUUCAGUGAAUCAUCGAAUCUUUGAACGCACCUUGCGCCCUUUGGCCAUUCCGAAGGGCAUGCCUGUUUGAGUAUCAUGAACACCUCAACUCUUUAUGGUUUUCCAUGAUGAGCUUGGACUUUGGGGGUUUUGCUGGCCUAUGGUCGGCUCCUCUAAAAUAAAUCAGCUUACCAGUGUUUGGUGGGUAUCAUGGGUGUGAUAACUAUCUACGCUUGUGGUUUUUCCGCCAGGUAACCUUCGACAGCGGAGGUUCACUGGAGCUCAUAGAUGUCUCUCCUCAGCGAGGACAGCCCUUUGAAUUUUUGAUCUCAAAUCAGGUAGGACUACCCGCUGAACUUAAGCAUAUCAAUAAGCGGAGGA